rnacentral:lncRNA from 1 species
CGCCACGGUGACUUAUAAGUAACUCAUUGUACUUUAGUAUCAGACCAUCUAAGUUUCUAGCUCAAUGACGGAAGGCUAUUAGGUGAAGUCAAGUACUUAUCAAGUCAGUGUGUGAGUCAAGAUGGAAUUGACCCCUCUAAAUUAGAAGGAGAUAUGCAUCAAUGUAUUUCAAUUCAGUAAAAUCUUGGUCAAGAUAAUCCAUAAGAUAGAUUUGAAAGGUUGAGAUAC